AUUGAACGCUGGCGGCAUGCCUUACACAUGCAAGUCGAACGGCAGCACGGGUGCUUGCACCUGGUGGCGAGUGGCGAACGGGUGAGUAAUACAUCGGAACGUACCUUAUCGUGGGGGAUAACGCAGCGAAAGCUGUGCUAAUACCGCAUACGCCCUGAGGGGGAAAGCGGGGGAUCGCAAGACCUCGCGCGAUUAGAGCGGCCGAUGCCUGAUUAGCUAGUUGGUGGGGUAAAAGCCCACCAAGGCGACGAUCAGUAGCUGGUCUGAGAGGACGAUCAGCCACACUGGGACUGGGACACGGCCCAGACUCCUACGGGGGGCAGCAGUGGGGAAUUUUGGACAAUGGGGGCAACCCUGAUCCAGCAAUGCCGCGUGAGUGAAGAAGGCCUUCGGGUUGUAAAGCUCUUUUGUCAGGGAAGAAACACCGGCUCUAACACAGUCCGGGAAUGACGGUACCUGAAGAAUAAGCACCGGCUAACUACGUGCCAGCAGCCGCCGCCG
rnacentral:rRNA from 1 species